ensembl:lncRNA
CCUUAAAUAGAAACACACAAGAAUCUGAUUGAAGGAACUUCUGCAGAGUCCUGGUUCCAGAACAUGAUGAUAGAAUUAUAGACAAACUUUAACAAAAGCUGCCUGAGAGUUUACAGGUUUUUAUGUUAGAUUUCUUCAGUAAUUUAAUGAGAGUUAUCAGCAAAAAUCAAGUGUUCAUUUGAUGAACUUCAUUUCCUAAAACAUCCAGAAUUGGAGCUCAUAUCUUUGGCAGCUGUAAAGUUUCUGCUCCUUCAAAGUUCACAACACAAUGAAUGAAUUCCUAAAACACUCUCAAUGCUGGAGAGCGUUUGUGAUGCUGAAGCAGUGACCAGUUUUUCUGUUUCUUCUCUGGAGAUGCACAAUGAGGGACGUCUGCAGAGAAUGAGAAAGAGUCUCACCACAUCCUGACAUGAGGAAAAAGACUUUAUUGAAGACUACAAUGAGAAAAACUAUCCAGACAGCAGACGGCUGCAUUCAAGGCUACAGGAGGAGCCCUACGAGGACGAGCCGGUACACCUGAUGGCGGCCAGUCGCUGCGGUUCAAAGCCAACACCGACUACGUGGACUUCUACUGGACCACAUGGAGACCUUCAGACCAGACCAACAAGUUCACCGACUCCCCGACUCGUGGGUCUGAGGACACCGCCGAGCCUCGGUCCAGCCGGCCUCCUGUCUGUGGGUGUUUGAGUGCUGAGAGGUUUGUGGAUGCAUGUGAAUGUGUCUGUGUUGAAACAGCAGCUUUGGACUCCGUAACGCUGGUAAAAACCAAGAGCUCCUUUAUUUGUGACUUCCAUGAAAAAAAACUGAUGAAAUUAAGUUUGCCAGGGUUCUGACUGAUAACAGAUUAUUAAAUAAUGAAAAUAACAGUUUAAAUAUUCCUUUAAACAAUCCUUUUAGGUCUACAUUUCCUUUACACUGACUUCUUGGAAUAUGCACAAGUAUUAUGGGUGGAAUAUACCAUUAAGCCCAAUGUUCAAGGGUUCUUCUGGGAAUAUACCAU